rnacentral:lncRNA from 1 species
AAGGCAAUAAUGGCCGUUACCUCUCGGCAUCGAGAUGAUUAUCGACAAAGGAACAGGUCGAGGGAGGUCGUACCCGAAGUCAGGGAAAUGGACUAUCAACGUGAUCAUUCUCACCAUAAGGAAAGAGUUGUGUACCGAAGCAGAUCAAGAAGUCCCUCCAGGGCAGUAGGAUCGGCAAGAGGAGGUCGAUCCUCUCAGAGACAUAAUGUUGUUCAUGAGAAAGAGGUUUCCCCACAGCCUGAAGGCGUUGAUUUUCUGGUAAAGGAG